rnacentral:misc_RNA from 1 species
GAUGAAGAACGUAGCGAAAUGCGAUAAGUAAUGUGAAUUGCAGAAUUCAGUGAAUCAUCGAAUCUUUGAACGCACAUUGCGCCCGCCAGUAUUCUGGCGGGCAUGCCUGUUCGAGCGUCAUUUCAACCAUCAAGCCCCCGGCUUGUGUUGGGGACCUGCGGCUGCCGCAGGCCCUGAAAAGCAGUGGCGGGCUCGCUGUCACACCGAGCGUAGUAGCAUACAUCUCGCUCUGGGCGUGCUGCGGGUUCCGGCCGUUAAACCACCUUCAUAACCCAAGGUUGACCUCGGAACAGGUAGGAAGACCCGCUGAACUUAAGCAUAUCAAUAAGCGGAGGA